rnacentral:rRNA from 1 species
AUGGCCGCCAUCGCAGGCCGCGCGUACGAGGACUUCGUGCCGCCGCACAACAUGGUCACCGAGCCGGCGACCCACACCCUCUCCGUCGAUCUCACCGCCGCAGGGUACAAGAAGGAGCACAUCAGGGUGCAGCUGGUCCGCAGCCACGGGCUAGUGGUCGUGCGCGGCGAGCGCGCCGUCGCGGGCAACCGCUGGAGCCGCUUCCGCCUCGAGUUCCGCGUGCCCGACGGCUGCGACCUCAAGGGCAUCCACGCGAGGUUCGAGGGCGGCGUCGUGCGGGUCACCAUGCCCGGGCUAAGGACCGCGGUCGGCGACGUCUCUGGUAAGCAGGUGCCCCCGGCGGCCAAGGCUGAUGCUUCCGGCGUUGGAGCAGGAGACAAGGAAGACGAGAACGUGCAGAAACAGCCGGCGGAGGAGCGCGGGGCCGACGCGGUCAAAGAUAGUGCCCGCCUCGAUCAAGGACAAGAUAGUGGCCGCCUUGAUCAAGGACAAGGUACCCCUGCCGACGGCGUCCGGGGAGUGGAGUCGCCGGCGACGUCGUCAGGCCGCGGAUACAGCUACCUCCCUGAACGGAGAAAGCUUGUGACCACCGUGGUUGGCGCGGUGCUCGUCCUGUUUAGCCUUGGUAUCUACGUCAGGUACAGCUUCGGCCCAUGA